UAAUUUUUCUAGAAAGGGAACCCUUCUGAAUGAGGACUCCCUAUGUAGAACCGCUAAAGACGGUGACGUAGUUACAUCAUAACUUUAAA
rnacentral:sRNA from 1 species